ACAGGGAUUGCCUUAGUAACGGCGAGUGAAGCGGCAACAGCUCAAAUUUGAAAUCUGGCCUUUGGUCCGAGUUGUAAUUUGCAGAGGAUGCUUCGGGCGCGGUGCCUUCCAAGUCCCCUGGAACGGGGCGCCGGAGAGGGUGAGAGCCCCGUACGGUUGGCGGCCAAGCCUGUGUGAAGCUCCUUCGACGAGUCGAGUAGUUUGGGAAUGCUGCUCUAAGCGGGAGGUAGACCCCUUCUAAAGCUAAAUACCGGCCAGAGACCGAUAGCGCACAAGUAGAGUGAUCGAAAGAUGAAAAGCACUUUGAAAAGAGGGUUAAACAGCACGUGAAAUUGUUGAAAGGGAAGCGCUUGUGACCAGACGUGCGCCGGGGUGUUCAGCGGGCGUUCUCGCCCGUGCACUCGCCUCGGUGCAGGCCAGCGUCGGUUUGGGUGGGGGGAUAAAGGCGUCUGGAAUGUGGCUCCUCCGGGAGUGUUAUAGCCAGACGUGCCAUGCCUCCGCCUGGACCGAGGUACGCGUUCUGCAAGGACGCUGGCGUAAUGGUCUCCAGCGACCCGUCUUGAAACACGGACCAAGGAGUCGAGGUUUUGCGCGAGUGUUUGGGUGAAAAACCCGCACGCGUAAUGAAAGUGAACGUAGGUGAGAGCUUCGGCGCAUCACCGACCGAUCCUGAUGUUUUCGGAUGGAUUUGAGUAAGAGCGUAGGGCCUCGGACCCGAAAGAUGGUGAACUAUGCUUGGAUAGGGUGAAGCCAGAGGAAACUCUGGUGGAGGCUCGCAGCGGUUCUGACGUGCAAAUCGAUCGUCAAAUCUGAGCAUGGGGGCGAAAGACUAAUCGAACCAUCUAGUAGCUGGUACCGCGA
rnacentral:rRNA from 1 species